GAAAGCCACGCAAGUGUUGAAAAAGUUGCACAAGGUACGAAUAAGUCACGGAAAAUACGAUUGGGCCGAUAAACCUAAGGAGUGCCAUUGGCAAAACAGUGCCUUUAGUUACGGAGAACCGAAUAAAAACCAUGAAAUAUGCACUUGGAGCAAAACAAAGGACUAACGCUCAGAAUACUUGUUAGUGAUAGUACACACGGUACACACUCUGCUCUGCAGAGUAAAUAGUACUGGAACUAAAAGUACCCAAGCACAGAUCAGGCAAACUUCAGACUGUGUCAAACUUCAGGGCAUUAUGCCCAUUCACGCAUUUGUGCUGUGUACUUCCUGUUCCAGGAAUAUAGUGAACGAUUUAACUAUGUAAUAUAUCAACUGCAGAUUCUAUCUUCUUUUGGAGACUCAACUUUACUCAUUUCAAGUGUACGGAAUAUAGUAAACCACAUAACUUCUCAUUUAAAACUGGUUUGGUGUUGCUGUUCUUGUUAAAUGAUGGAGCUGUGCAGAAUUGCAAAGAAGACACUGACAGUAGCGUGAAGGGACCAAAGCACCAGUACUGGGUUAGAAGUAUAUGGCAGGAUAAAGAAAAUCAGAAACCACAGGGCUCAUUUAUUGAAGGCAUUCACUACUGUCAGGUGCAAAGAAUCAAAGAAUUUUGAAACAAAGCAGAGCGAUUGUUGGUAUGACUAUCGAGAUAUUUAGUUUAGGACUGGUACAUAUGGAAAAGGAUGUGGAGUCUUAACAAGGUUAAUCAAAGGUUUACCAAAAAGCCAAUUUAUUAUGGCCGGAUGUAUUGUAUCUAACGGUGAGUUGUAUGAACUUAAAAUUGUCCAGAAAUUCAAACAGAAAUGAUACUGUGAGGCAGAGCUUCUAAAAACUAGAGAUAAAGUUGGACAAAUUCCCAGAGAGGAAUUGCUGGUGAGACGUAAAAGAGGCAUAGACAGAACACAGUGGUUAGCCUUUGUAAGUGUAUAUAAUGGCAACUCUAAAACCGUGAGGCAUACCAUCCUUAAAUACUGGGGGAUCUUGAGAGUGGACCCUAAGUAUGGCAAAUUAUUUGGUAAACCCCCUGUUUUUUCCUAUAAAAAGGGCAAAACAGUAGGUAAUCUGAUUAAACCAUACAAGGCUAACCAGCAUACAGUAUGAGACAGUUUGGUAAUUCAAAAGGGACGUAUCCAUGUUACAAUU